GCUUAGAAGCAGCCAUCCUUCAAAGAAAGCGUAAUAGCUCACUGAUCGAGUCUUCCUGCGCGGAAGAUGUAACGGGGCUAAGUCAAUAACCGAAGCCGCGGAUUCGCAGCAAUGCGAGUGGUAGGGGAGCGUUCUGUAAGCCUGCGAAGGCGGAUCUGCGAGGACCGCUGGAGGUAUCAGAAGUGCGAAUGCUGACAUGAGUAACGUUAAAGCGGGUGAAAAGCCCGCUCGCCGUAAGCCCAAGGUUUCCUGCUCUACGUUCAUCGGAGCAGGGUGAGUCGGCCCCUAAGGUGAGGCUGAGAAGCGUAACUGAUGGGAACAAGGUUAAUAUUCCUUGACCACCGCUGAAUGCGAAGGGGGGACGGAGUAUUGAAGAUCAUCCGGGUGUUGGAUAUCCCGGUUUGCGAGCGUAGGAGGCUGACAGGCAAAUCCGUCAGCGAAUCUCCGAGGCAAAGCAUCGAGCUCUCUUUUGAGCGAAGUGAUUGGAUGUGCUUCCAGGAAAAGCCUCUAAGCUCCAGUUCAGCGGGACCGUACCGCAAACCGACACUGGUGGGCGAGCUGAAUAUGCUCAGGCGCUUGAGAGAACUCAGGAGAAGGAACUCGGCAAAUUGACACCGUAACUUCGGGAUAAGGUGUGCCUUUGUAGCGUGGAGGGAGAAACACCCCGAGCGCGAAGAGGUCUCAGAUAAUCGGUGGCUGCGACUGUUUAUUAAAAACACAGCACUCUGCAAAGACGAAAGUCGACGUAUAGGGUGUGAUGCCUGCCCGGUGCUGGAAGAUUAAUUGAUGGGGUGCAAGCUCCUGAUCGAAGUCCCAGUAAACGGCGGCCGUAACUAUAACGGUCCUAAGGUAGCGAAAUUCCUUGUCGGGCAAGUUCCGACCUGCACGAAUGGCAUAACGAUGGCCACACUGUCUCCUCCUGAGACUCAGUGAAGUUGAAGUGUUUGUGAUGAUGCAAUCUCCCCGCGGCUAGACGGAAAGACCCCAUGAACCUUUACUGUAGCUUUGCAUUGGACUUUGAACCGAUCUGUGUAGGAUAGGCGGGAGCCUGUGAAACCACAACGCCAGUUGUGGCGGAGGCGUCCUUGAAAUACCGCCCUGAUUUGUUUGAGGUUCUAACCUGGGACAGUCAUCCUGUCCGGGGACCGUGCAUGGUAGGCAGUUUGACUGGGGCGGUCUCCUCCUAAAGGGUAACGGAGGAGUGCGAAGGUACGCUAGGUACGGUCGGAAAUCGUGCUGAUAGUGCAAUGGCAAAAGCGUGCUUGACUGCGAGACCCACAAGUCGAGCAGAUACGAAAGUAGGUCAUAGUGAUCCGGUGGCUCUGUAUGGAAGGGCCAUCGCUCAACGGAUAAAAGGUACUCUGGGGAUAACAGGCUGAUACCGCCCAAGAGUUCAUAUCGACGGCGGUGUUUGGCACCUCGAUGUCGGCUCAUCUCAUCCUGGGGCUGUAGCCGGUCCCAAGGGUAUGGCUGUUCGCCAUUUAAAGAGGUACGUGAGCUGGGUUUAAAACGUCGUGAGACAGUUUUGUCCCUAUCUGCCGUGGGCGCUGGAAGAUUGACGGGGGCUGCUCCUAGUACGAGAGGACCGGAGUGGACUCACCUCUGGUGUACCGGUUGUCACGCCAGUGGCAUCGCCGGGUAGCUAUGUGGGGAAGAGAUAACCGCUGAAAGCAUCUAAGCGGGAAACUUGCCUGAAGAUAAGUCUUCCUGGAGGCUAGACCUCCCUAAAGAGUCGUUCGAGACCAGGACGUUGAUAGGAUGGGUGUGUAAGUGCUGUGAGGCACUCAGCUAACCAUUACUAAUUGCUCGUGAAGCUUGAUCC
rnacentral:rRNA from 1 species